AUACGGAGGAUGCAAGCGUUAUCCGGAUUUAUUGGGUUUAAAGGGUGCGUAGGCGGUUUGCUAAGCGGGAGGUGAAAUGCCGGCGCUCAACGUCGGAAGUGCCUCCCGAACUGGUGGACUUGAAUGACUCUGCCGUGGGAGGAAUGUGUAGUGUAGCGGUGAAAUGCUUAGAGAUUACACAGAACACCGAUUGCGAAGGCAUCUCACGAAGGGUUGAUUGACGCUGAGGCACGAAAGCGUGGGGAUCAAACAGGAUUAGAUACCCUGGUAGUCCACGCAGUAAACGAUGAUGGCUAACCGCUGGUUUAUUCGGAUCAGUGGCCAAGCGAAAGCGAUAAGCCAUCCACCUGGGGAGUACGACCGCAAGGUUGAAACUCAAAGGAAUGGACGGGG
rnacentral:rRNA from 1 species